rnacentral:lncRNA from 1 species
UCAAAACGAAAAUCGUCUUUGAUUCCCAAACUAUCUUCUUUAUAUAUUUACCACAAAUGAUGCAUUUAAAAUAUAACUAAUUAAAUGUGGUUCACAUAUAAUUUCACAAAGAAUUAAAAAAUAAAUCAAAACAAAAAUAUAAUUAUCUUCAUAUGGACAAAAGAAAAAGCUAAGGGAAAAUUAAAAUUAAUUUUUUUAAAAAAAAUAGAAAAUGUUACAUAUAUAUCUUCCAUAAUAUUUCCUAUAUGAUAUUCUCUCCUCAAUCAGCUUAAAAAGUUGUGUUUAGAAAUUCUAGCCGCAAGCGAUGGUAGGUGUUAGCUGCAUUCACGAAUCUGAUUUUUCAAUUCUGGGCAUCACCAGCUAUGUCCACACUGCAACAUAUCCUUGCCCUAUUUAUAAACAAAAUGACGAGGGAGACGAUGACGACGACGACGACGACGGAAAUGACGUGGCUCCAGCAGCCUAACUCAUGAUGUAAGGGAGAGGAUGCUGAUGAUAGAUGAUGAUUAUUUGCCAUCAUUGGUGAGUAUUCAUAAAUAUAUAUAUCUUACGUCUUUUGUCUUGGACUUAAAAGUUCUUUCUCAGCAAAGAACAUGACAUAAACUUGACGUUGUAAUGUUCUUAUAUAUACAUAUAUAUGCAGUACUAAUACUACACCCUUAUUGUUAGUAAUUUCUACGUUAUAUCAGUGUAUGUGUACAUAUGUAAGCAUUGUAUUUCAAGCUCUGGUUUUUUUUUUUUUUUUGGCCGAGAAAAGGCUCUAGCUAGCGCUACUACCACCUAAACCACACAGUAUUACUGAAUCAAAUAAACCAACAUUAUGAAAAUUAAUUGCUCCUGUUAAGUCGCCGAUAAUUAAGAUCGAGGAAUCCUCUCUAACAUAUUCUUGUCAUGAAAUUGAUCAAAUGGACUUGGAGGUAAAAACUUAGUUAACCAUAGUUGAUUAGGACAUGGUAAUGUAUGAUCAAUUAUAAUUCAUUAACAAUAAACACCAUAAUUAGUUGAGUCAAAGUAUAGUAUUGAAAUAUACCAAUUAGUAAAUAACACUCACCAUUAGAAUACGAGUAGUAGUUAAAUUGUCAUAUUAACCUUUUUUUAGAAGAUAUGUAACUUCCUUAUGUUAAAAAUAGCAAAUUGUUAGUAAGUGAUGUAUUUCAAUACUUAAGAAGUAACUAAGAAAUUCUUUUGCAUUGUAGAUAAAGACUAAAAUCUUAUAUGAUCAUUGCUUUAGCUCAAAUAUCAUAUGCAUAUAUAAGAAAAGAAGUUGUGUUAUUGGAGCCAAUAUAAAAUAGAUAAGUAUUAACAUUGGAUGAAAGUCACUAGAGCAAAUAUAAAAGAAAGAAGUGAGGAAGAAGGCCGGCUUCUUGAAUAAGAGAUACAUUCUAAAUAUAACAAGUUGAAAUUUUAAUGGAUUAAUUCAUAUACCAAGAAUAUAAUCUAUGUAGAUAAUAAUAAAGAACUUCAUAUCAUCAGAGUGAAGAUAAAAUAAAAAAAUAUUUUGGAUGGUUGAAGAUCAUGAUCCUACAAAAAAAGAUAUUCAUACUAGUAAAUUAUGUUCUAAGAAUAUAUUUAGGCUAUAUAAUGAUAGUGUAGGGUGCAAAGAUGAUUUAGAUAUUAUAUAUAAAAAAAUUUAUAAAUUAAAAUAUAAAAAUCUAUUCAUCAAGAUUACUAUAAAAAAUCAUUAGAGAAAUCAAGGUGUUUCAAACCCUAAUUAUAAGUAAUGAUAACAAUAUAAAAUAUUUGAAUAACAAUAAGUUUAAUGGUAGGACUACAAGUUUCAAAAUAAUCAACUUAUAUUCAUAUUCUUUGACGAUCAACUGAAAUUUUCUCUAUUUAAUGUGAUAUACUAAUUUAUUAAUAAUUAUAUCUUUACCAAAUUUCAUAUUUUGGCAGCCAUGAGAGCUUGUAUCUCUUUAACCAUGGAUCAAACUAGAUCUUAUUUUUAUUAGUAAGGAAGAUAAAAGUUAGUUUACUAUCCAAAAUGAAAUUUAUUUUUAUUAACAACAACAGUUCUCACUAGUUAUAUGUAUACGAAAAUUUCAUAUUUUGUUGGCCAUGAGUGUUUGUAUCUCUUUAACCAUGCAUUAUACUAAAUCUUACUUCUAUUAACGAGAAAGAAAAAAGUUAGUUUAUUAUAAAAAAUGAAGCUUAUUUUUAUUAACAACAUUACGUUCAAUUAGUUAUAUGCAUCUCAGUAGCUAUUGUUUGUUCUCUUACUUUCAAGAUUUAUUUCCUAAACAAUGUAGCUGAAUGUUUAAUGUAUACUCUAGAUGCACACAUCAAAUAUAGAGGCUUCUAAAGACAUUCUUAAUGCAUUUACGACUUAUAUUUCUCUAACCAUAGAUGUUGCUCAUUUCUGUAAGUACUAAUAUACCUAGUAAGUAGGAAAGAACAAGAUCAAACCGAAAUCGAUUAAAUCAUUCAAAUCAAAUUGAAAAACAAAAAUAAUGAAUUGAGCACUUUAACUAAUUCAAUCGGUUAAUAAUUGAAUACCCUGUUCUUAAAUACUUCGAUCUAGAUUCCUACACACUUAUUAAAAAUUAAUUUAAUUUUUAAGUAAUAAGUAUACUAUAUAUAAAAAUAUAAAUAUAUUGUUACAUAUUACAUAUAAUAUAACUACAAGGACUGUGCAUCCAGCAAUACCCAAUCCAUAAAUGUUAAUACAUCAUUAUAUAUAUAUAUAUGUUUAUAUGUAUAAAUUAAUAAAUCAAAUAAAUUUGCAAUCAAGUUUCAACAAAAAUCAUAGCACAAUUUCAGUUUCAACUUUCUUCUUUCUUGUACGUGGCGUGCUCUACAGUUUUCCAUCUUCUCCUUCUUUGAGUCUUCCACCUUCUUCGGUUCUUAUGUUCUUCCACCUUUUGCCAUUGACGCAAUCAAGACACAGCUAGCAACCACCAGAAAAGUAAGCACUCUCGCCGUAGAGAUAUAAUUUAUAAUUCAGAAUCAGAGAAAUAUAUGUAGUAUUAUUUUGUUAUUUAACUUACUAGUAUAUAAAAUUUAAUCUUAUAAGUGUGAGAGGGAAAAAAAAAAAAUCAAAUUAACCACACAUUUACAGACGGUUAAUUUGAUUUUUUAUUUUUAUUUUUUAAUCCGAAUUGACCAAAAUCAACUAUGCUCUUUUCUAUUUGUAAGCCAAUUGCAUGAGAUGUACCGAUAAUAUUAUUGUAAUAAUUUCAUUUGAAAUAUAUUAUGUUAAAGAAUUAAAUUAUUAAUAAAACAUAAAU